rnacentral:rRNA from 1 species
UACAGAGGUCCCGAGCGUUGGUCGGAUUCACUGGGCGUAAAGGGUGCGUAGGCGGCAUGGCAAGUUUGAUGUGAAAGCUCAGGGCUCAACCCUGAAAUGGCAUUGAAUACUGCUGUGCUGGAGGUUUGGAGGGGGGACUGGAAUUCUCGGUGUAGCAGUGAAAUGCGUAGAUAUCGAGAGGAACACCAGUGGCGAAGGCGAGUCCCUGGACAACACCUGACACUGAGGCACGAAAGCUAGGGGAGCAAACAGG